AUGAUGGGUCCCAGUGAUGUAGUGUAUAUGGACAAAAGGGGGGGGGGGGGGGGGGGGGGGGGGGGGGGGGGGGGGGGGGGGGGGGGGGGGGGGGGGGGGGGGGGGGGGGGGGGGGGGGGGGGGGGGGGGGGGGGGGGGGGGGGGGGGGGGGGGGGGGGGGGGGGGGGGGGGGGGGGGGGGGGGGGGGGGGGGGGGGGGGGGGGGGGGGGGGGGGGGGGGGGGGGGGGGGGGGGGGGGGGGGGGGGGGGGGGGGGGGGGGGGGGGGGGGGGGGGGGGGGGGGGGGGGGGGGGGGGGGGGGGGGGGGGGGGGGGGGGGGGGGGGGGGGGGGGGGGGGGGGGGGGGGGGGGGGGGGGGGGGGGGGGGGGGGGGGGGGGGGGGGGGGGGGGGGGGGGGGGGGGGGGGGGGGGGGGGGGGGGGGGGGGGGGGGGGGGGGGGGGGGGGGGGGGGGGGGGGGGGGGGGGGGGGGGGGGGGGGGGGGGGGGGGGGGGGGGGGGGGGGGGGGGGGGGGGGGGGGGGGGGGGGGGGGGGGGGGGGGGGGGGGGGGGGGGGGGGGGGGGGGGGGGGGGGGGGGGGGGGGGGGGGGGGGGGGGGGGGGGGGGGGGGGGGGGGGGGGGGGGGGGGGGGGGGGGGGGGGGGGGGGGGGGGGGGGGGGGGGGGGGGGGGGGGGGGGGGGGGGGGGGGGGGGGGGGGGGGGGGGGGGGGGGGGGGGGGGGGGGGGGGGGGGGGGGGGGGGGGGGGGGGGGGGGGGGGGGGGGGGGGGGGGGGGGGGGGGGGGGGGGGGGGGGGGGGGGGGGGGGGGGGGGGGGGGGGGGGGGGGGGGGGGGGGGGGGGGGGGGGGGGGGGGGGGGGGGGGGGGGGGGGGGGGGGGGGGGGGGGGGGGGGGGGGGGGGGGGGGGGGGGGGGGGGGGGGGGGGGGGGGGGGGGGGGGGGGGGGGGGGGGGGGGGGGGGGGGGGGGGGGGGGGGGGGGGGGGGGGGGGGGGGGGGGGGGGGGGGGGGGGGGGGGGCCCCCCGUUAA
rnacentral:lncRNA from 12 species